AUACUUACCUGGACGGGGUCGACGGCUGAUCAAGAAGAGUCGUGGCCUAGGCUAGUGGUCCACAUUGCACUUGGUGGAUGCGUUGGCUUACCAUCUCCCCAAGUGGGAGAGUGGACGUCAUAAUUUAUGAUAGAGGGGGUACGCGUCCGCGCGGCCCCUGC
rnacentral:snRNA from 1 species